AUUGAACGCUAGCGGGAUGCCUUACACAUGCAAGUCGAACGGAUUGGCGAACGGGUGAGUAAUGUAUCGGCACGUGCCCCGUACCGGGGGAUAACUACGCGAAAGCGUAGCUAAUACCGCAUACUAUUGGAGCGGGCGAUAUCGGGUUAGCUAGUUGGUGGGGUAACGGCUCACCAAGGCGACGAUCCAGAGCUGGUGUGAGAGGACGACCAGCCAAACUGGGACUGAGACACGGCCCAGAAUUCCACGGGAGGCAGGCGGGGGGAAUUUUGGACAAUUGGGCAAAACCCGAUCCAGCCAGCCCGCGUGUGCGAUGAAGGCCUUUGGGUUGUAAAGCACUUUUGGCAGGAAAGCGGGACCUGCAGAAGAAGCACCGGCUAACUACGGGCCAGCAGCCGCGGUAAUUUC
rnacentral:rRNA from 1 species